CCUACGGGAGGCAGCAGUGAGGAAUAUUGGUCAAUGGGCGCGAGCCUGAACCAGCCAAGUCGCGUGAGGGAAGACGGUCCUAUGGAUUGUAAACCUCUUUUGUCGGGGAGCAAAAGACGCCACGCGUGGCGUUCCGAGAGUACCCGAAGAAAAAGCAUCGGCUAACUCCGUGCCAGCAGCCGCGGUAAUACGGGGGAUGCGAGCGUUAUCCGGAUUUAUUGGGUUUAAAGGGUGCGCAGGCGGAAGAUCAAGUCAGCGGGAAAAUUGAGAGGCUCAACCUCUUCGAGCCGUUGAAACUGGUUUUCUUGAGUGAGUGAGAAGUAUGCGGAAUGCGUGGUGUAGCGGUGAAAUGCAUAGAUAUCACGAAGAACUCCGAUUGCGAAGGCAGCAUACCGGCGCUCAACUGACGCUGAUGCACGAAAGUGUGGGUAUCGAACAGGAUUAGAUACCCCUGUAGUC
rnacentral:rRNA from 1 species